CCUCCUGCUCGGUGCUGCUGCACCUCUGGAGUCUCUCAGGAAAGGUGUUUCCACUGACAGAAACCAGUGUCCAUGCAAACCUUCUCAGAAUAUCCACCAAAAGUCACCAAGCCAGCAUGUUUGGUCACACCUCCACCUCAGAACAACAGCAGAAGCAUCCAGAGAGUCUCUGGAGGCGCGGCGCUGAAUGACCAGUUCUGCAGCCAGACUGUCGAGAAGUGGCUUCGUUAUGCGCCGGA